rnacentral:rRNA from 1 species
CAAUAGCGUAUAUUUAAGUUGUUGCAGUUAAAAAGCUCGUAGUUGGAUUUCGGUUGAGAGCGGCCGGUCCGCCGUUUGGCGUGCACUGGCUGGUUUCAACUUCCUGUAGAGGACGCGCUUUGGGCUUAACGGUCUGAACGUGGAGUCUACAUGGUUACUUUGAAAAAAUUAGAGUGUUCAAAGCGGGCUUACGCUUGAAUAUUUCAGCAUGGAAUAACACUAUAGGACUCCUGUCCUAUUUCGUUGGUCUCGGGACGGGAGUAAUGAUUAAUAGGGAUAGUUGGGGGCAUUAGUAUUUAUUAGCUAGAGGUGGAAUUCUCUAAUUUGAUAAAGACUAACUUAUGCGAAAGCAUUUGCCAAGGAUGUUUUCAUUAA